GGUACAUGGUUACUGGGUGUGUGGAGGUAGAGGUACAUGGUUACUGGGUGUGUGGAGGUAGAGGUACAUGGGUACUGGGUAUGUGGAGGUAGAGGUACAUGGUUACUGGGUGUGUGGAGGUAGAGGUACAUGGUUACUGGGUGUGUGGAGGUAGAGGUACAUUGAUACUUGAUGUGUGGAGGUACAGGUACAUGGUUACUGGAUGUGUUGAGGUAGAGAUACAUGGUUACUGGAUGUGUGGAGGUAGAGAUACAUUGAUACUUGAUGUGUGGAGGUACAGGUACAUGGUUACUGGAUGUGUGGAGGUAGAGAUACAUUGAUACUUGAUGUGUGGAGGUACAGGUACAUGGUUACUGGGUGUGUGGAGGUACAUGGUUACUGGGUGUGUGGAGGUAGAGGUACAUGGUUACUGGGUGUGUGGAGGUACAUGGUUACUGGGUGUGUGGAGGUAGAGGUACAUGGUUACUGGGUGUGUGGAGGUAGAGGUACAUGGUUACUGG